CAUGUACCGAUGUCUAGCCACUAAUGAGAUUGGUUCCUUAAGCCAUGCUGCGAAGAUCAACGUAAUUGGACCUCCCUUUGUCAGGAUAAUGAAGGAUAUUGCUGCUGUGGAAGGAGAUGUGCUGGUGGUGAGGUGCCCAGUCGCCGGAUAUCCAGUUGAAGAAGUCUACUGGGAAAAAAAUGGUCGCCGGAUUCCCUACAAUCACAGGCAGAGGGGAUUCAAAAAUGGUACACUAAUUAUUCGAGAAAUAGAUCGUAGAAGCGAUGGCGGUGAAUACAGAUGCAUUGCAAGAAACAGUCAAGGGCAGAGGGGUGAGAGGACAUUGAAUAUUAGAGUUCUAACUCCACCAGUUAUAGAACCUUUUCACAUACCAGAAGCCAUAGAAGAAGGCGCUCGAUCCAAACUCCUGUGCUCUGUGACAAAAGGAGAUCCACCAAUCACUAUACAGUGGUUAAAAGACUCUAAACCCCUAACUCCAGAUCUAGGAGUGACGGAAACUGUGUUAGACGAGUUUUCGAAGGCUUUGUUAUUUCCCAGAGUGGAAUUAAGACACAGGGGAAACUACACUUGUACUGCAAGGAAUAUGGCCGCUUCUGCGAGUUUUACGGCUUCAAUGGUAAUCCAUGCCCCACCUCGCUGGACCACAGAGCCACCACAUACAGAAGCUGUUCUGGGGUCUGAUGUGAUAUUGAAUUGUGUUGCUGAUGGUUUUCCCAAGCCUCAGAUACUUUGGAAGAGAGCAGAAGAUACUCUGCAAAGUGACUACAACACACUCUUGACUGAUGCACAUAUCCAUACCCUUGUCAAUGGAUCUCUGUCUAUACGGAACGUUGAGAAAUCUGAUGAAGGAUAUUAUAUGUGUCAAGCAUCUAAUGGUAUUGGUUCAGGAAUCAGUACAGUAAUUAUGCUAAAUGUUCGAGUGCCGGCUCAUUUUAAAGAAGAAUUCAUGGCGGAAACCGUUCGAAGGGGAGAAAAAGUUGUAGUAAAAUGCCAAGCAUUUGGAGACAGACCACUUACUGUCACAUGGAAGAAAGACGGUCAGCUUUUGGAUAAACAGGCCGAAAAAAAGUACACCAUUGACGAAACCAUGACGGAUGAAGGUGUGACAUCGGAAGUUCACAUUCAAUCAGCUGAUCGUAGAGAUUCUUCGUUAUUUACAUGCGUUGCAGAGAAUUCCUUUGGCAAAGAUGAAAUGAAUAUUCAAAUCAUAGUCCAAGAAAGACCAGACAAACCAUUCAAAGUAGCAGCGCAUGAAAGUACGAGCAGGAGCAUUUCUCUUUCUUGGUCACCUCCUUACUCUGGAAAUAGUCCUAUUUUACUCUAUACGAUACAGUACAAACCUAAUACAGGUAGCUGGAAGGAUGACGCAAAGGAAAUUACAGCUUCUGGGGCCGAUAGUAAAGCUAUGAUAACAGGACUUCUCCCAUCAACAACUUACCAUUUCCGAGUAAUGGCAGAGAAUUCAUUCGGGAAAAGUGACUACAGUUCAUAUGUAGCUGCAACGACGGACUUAGAAGUUCCUGGAGGUCCACCUUUAAACGUUCGAGCAGAAGCCGUAGGCUCACAAGCAAUCCGAGUAAGCUGGCAGCCUCCAGCACCCAAUCUACAAAAUGGCAGAUUAGCUGGUUAUUAUGUGGGUUAUAAAGUCCACGGUUCCACAAAACCUUACACGUACAAAACGCUGGAAAUCACUGACGCUUUCCGAAAUGAGUGCCUCAUAACGAAUCUGAAGAGGGUAACAACCUACAGUGUAAUUGUUCAAGCCUUCAAUAGGCGUGGUGCUGGCCCACCUUCAGAUGAAAUCAAAGUUCGAACAAAAGACAAUGAUCCGCCAACAAAUCCGAUUAUGAGCGUCAGUGGAACGACCCAUACUACCAUCCAAGUGCAGUGGGAAAUACGGUCUUCAGCUUCUAGUCCAAUUGAAGGUUUUCAUCUUCACUUCAAGCGAGAAUUAGGCGGUUGGCAAGAAAUACAGGUGCCAAGCAAUAAGAGAGAAUACACUUUUGAAAAUUUGCAGUGUGGUACAAGGUACCACUUUUUCAUGACUGCUUUUAAUGAAGUUGGAGAUGGACUACCUAGUGAUGCUGUUACUGCCAAGACACUGGGGGUAGCACCCAUUGCUCCAAGCCAGCAUAGCUUUCUGCGUGCAAAUGCCACGCACGCCGUCCUAUACCUUAGUGAAUGGAAUGAUGGAGGUUGUGCUAUCACGUUCUUCGUAAUCCAGUACCGCAUGAAGACACAUAGAGAAUGGACGCUUGUGUCUGAUCACGUGCUGAUGCAGUCAGAACCCUUUGAACUGGAUGGUUUAACGCCUGGAACUUGGUAUAGACUCCAUAUUAUGGCUCAUAAUGAUGCUGGACCUACUCAAGCGGAAUACACUUUCAGCACCAGUAUAGUUAAUGAUGGAAACUCUAUCACACCCAUAAUUAAAGGCACCGCUCCAUUUUAUACAAACCUUGCCAUCGUUGCACCAGUCGUAGUAACCGUGGUGAUUCUUAUAUCUGUGUUGAUUGUUGUCUGUGCCCUGAGCAGACGCAGAAGAAAUGGUGAUAGGCAGUAUGAUGAUACACAGAGUGUUCGAAAAGAAGUGAAUACAGAGGCAGUUCAGAUGUCAGAAUAUGAAGUCAAGCAAGACGGCACUUACGUCCAAACCAAAGAUUCCAUAUAUUUUCCUUCGCCAUAUGCUACAAGUAGAGUUCCCGUAUUUUCUUUAGAUGAACGAAGUUCAGGGGAGAGCAGUACAGAUGGCAGAUCGACGCUUCACGACAUAGAAAGACCAUACGAUGUUCCAUUUGCUGUUAAACAGGCGAGUAACACGAAACAUAUGAAAGGGGGUAAAGCUCUAACGCAAUCGGAAGUUGAGCACAUGUACAGUUUUCCAAACAGGCAAUCAAGUGGUCAUCAUCAGUCCACCGGAUCUAACCGGAAGGAGUCCGGAUCAGGACGUCGUUGGUCUGCGGAUGUCGAUGAUGAAUACGUCCCAGGCAAUAACGAUUCAAGACCCCGAUCCACUGCAAUUUCUUCCUCCAGAUGGCAGUGCGGUACCAAACAAGGUAUGAGGAGGAUGAUGACUGUGGAAGCCCCUUUCAUGUACCCGGAGCACGUGACAUAGGAGAGAGUAGUGAUGCUGAGUGUGACAGGGACCAGAUUCUAUACGUCCAUACCGACGCAGGUUCCUUUAUAAGUGCUAAAUUGCCGUACCAUAUCGCCUUGGGAAAGCAGGUUAUGUUCCCCUCCAGGACAAGAAUUGAAGCCUGAAGCAUUUCGGCCCAGCACAUAUUGAACAUGACUAACAAGCUGUCUCGUGUUUAAUGUACUUUAUGAAGAUAAGGACUUCCAACUAAUUCUGUAAAUGAAAUAUAAAGUUGAAUGUGAAAAUGCUGCAAUAAAUGAAAGAAUGUUAUUUUGUAACUUUCGAUGCUAUUGAUCAGUGUUGAUCAGCAUCACAAGUGAUUCAGACACUUGUAAAUAUUAAAUGUUUGAGUUUUUUAAUAAUGUGAUAUAUCGCCAAACAGAAAUCAUGUCAUCAAAGCCUAAUCUUUUCCUCCUCAUUUAAUUGGAACUGUGAUGAAAGAACUAAGACAAUUUAUAUGAAAGGUGUGAUAAUUAGAAACUGAAAAGCUACCUAUAUGGUGCAUAAUUUCAAAUAAUUCUCGUGUGUGAAAACAAUAAACAAUUAUAAUGUUUGUCACUUUUUAAAUUUGAUAUGCAUUUGAAUUUUCAAGUUUUAAAAUUAGAAGCAUUUUAUGAUUUUAAAUGUUAUUUAUGUAAGAGAUAUACAGUUUUGUACGUGUCGUGUAUGCAGCAAAGACAGAUUUAAAUACCUUUUCUCUUUUUUUUUGUAAAUUAAUUCAAAAUUACGAACUCGAGUUAAUUUAACCAAAAUGUCUAAACAGCUUGGUUUCUUAGCGUGUGAAAUCAGUGUACAUAUUUAACAUUUUAGGUAAUUAAUAUAUAGGUUAUUUUAUUUUAUUUUACUUUAUUUAUUAUCCCAAAGGAGCAUUAGCUCACAAGAGCCAUUAGUCUUGAAACGGGAUGUUACGUUGCAUCACUAUAAACGGCUGAAUCACCUUGUUGCCACCAAAAAUUAUCGCCGUAUAUUAUAUUAAAAAAAUUAAAUAAUGAAUAAUCUACAUGAAAGAAUAUAUGAUUCUCGCAUUGUGAAAAA
rnacentral:misc_RNA from 1 species